UGCAUGACAUGCUGUUUUUGCCACUGGUAGAUGAUUCCGUACUCAGACGAGAAAUACUUAUCUAAUGGAGUUCGUAUCCUAUUGACUUAUCUCGAAGCUCUAUUGCAGCCUACGUGUCACAACAGGCAAACACGCUGCGCAUACAAGAAAUAGGUGACGUUGAGAUAACGGGAGGAGUUUCUACUUUCUUCCCAUUGACUUUCUCCGUUCUCCAUAGGUCCAUAUAUAUUCAAGAACGACAUGUUUCCCAUUUCCCUGCCUUUCUUCUCACAAACAGAUCAAUUCAAUUAGAGUGCAACGUGACCCAAAUUCCCUGUUCGUGGAUGUUCACCAAAUUCAUUCUGUUCUGACGACAGCACAUCAUUGCUUUAACAACUGGGCUUUCUUGCCAUUCGAAUUGAAUUUGCCAAAAGCUGGACAACCUCUCCACGUACUGAUGACUGAAUAGAAGUUUUUCACCAAUAUGUCGUCGAACCUUUUCUUGAAUCUUAAAUUAAAUUGCAUCGUCUCAAAAAGCUGAAGUUGAGCAUUGUGAUACCUUUGAUGAACGAAUAUGAAGUUAAAGAUUUUAGGGAAGCGACCUCCACCUGUCUUCAUAGUCAUGGGGAAAGACUUGUAAUCACUGUAAAAAUUUGGUGCCAAAUAAUAAUAUAAAAUAUUUAACAACCAUCCGACCAACACCACCACGGGGGUGGGAAUAGUAGUU